rnacentral:rRNA from 1 species
GGUAAAGCGAAUGAUUAGAGGCCUUAGGGUCGAAACGAUCUUAACCUAUUCUCAAACUUUAAAUGGGUAAGAACCUCACCUUUCUUGAUAUGAAGGUUGUGGUUGUGAUAUAUUGUGCCCAGUGGGCCACUUUUGGUAAGCAGAACUGGCGCUGUGGGAUGAACCAAACGUAAUGUUAAGGUGCCAAAAUUAACAACUCAUACAGAUACCAUGAAAGGCGUUGGUUGCUUAAAACAGCAGGACGGUGGACAUGGAAGUCGUAAUCCGCUAAGGAGUGUGUAACAACUCACCUGCCGAAGCAACUAGCCCUUAAAAUGGAUGGCGCUUAAGUUGUAUACCUAUACAUUACCGCUAAAGUAAAUGAUUUAUAUAUUGUAAUAUUAUAUAUAAAUUUUGAAACUUUAGCGAGUAGGAAGGUACGAUGGUGUGCAUAGAAGUGUUUGGCGUAAGCCUGCAUGGAGCCGCUAUUGGUACAGAUCUUGGUGGUAGUAGCAAAUAAUCGAAUGAGACCUUGGAGGACUGAAGUGGAGAAGGGUUUCGUGUGAACAGUGGUUGAUCACGAGUUAGUCGGUCCUAAGUUUAAUGCGAAAGCAGACAAAUAUAUCAAGUUAUUAAUUGAUUUUAAAAAUAAUUAUAAUUAUAUUUAUACACUUGAUUAUUUAUUGAACGAAAGGGAAUACGGUUCCAAUUCCGUAACCUGUUGAGUAUCCGUUUGUUAUUAAAAAUGGGCCAUGUGCUCAUCCUGGUAACAGGAACGACCAUAAAGAAGCCGUCGAGAGAUAUCGGAAGAGUUUUCUUUUCUGUUUUAUAAUCGUAUUACCAUGGAAGUCUUUCGAAGAGAGAUAUGGUAAAUGGAUUAGAAGAGCAUGACAUUUACUGUUGUGUCGAUAUUUUCUCCUCGGACCUUGAAAAUUUAUGGUGGGGUCACGCAAACUUCUUAACAGGCCGUACCGAUAUCCGCAGCUGGUCUCCAAGGUGAAGAGUCUCUAGUCGAUAGAAUAAUGUAGGUAAGGGAAGUCGGCAAAUUAGAUCCGUAACUUCGGGAUAAGGAUUGGCUCUGAAGAUUGAGAUAAUCGGGCUUGAUUGUAAAGCAAUAUAUGGUUUAUGUACUCGAUCUGGGUAAAUUAGAAUUUCGUUAAGAUAUUCGUUCCCCGGAUAGUUAGUUAUGUAGCCAAUUGUGGAGCUUUCUUGCUAAUAUUAUAAAAAGUCUUUUACAUGAAUUUUAUUURUGUAAAAGUAACUAUUAUAAUUAUAACGAUUAUCAAUUAACAAUCAAUUCAGAACUGGCACGGACCUGGGGAAUCCGACUGUCUAAUUAAAACAAAGCAUUGUGAUGGCCCUAACGGGUGUUGACACAAUGUGAUUUCUGCCCAGUGCUCUGAAUGUCAAAGUGAAGAAAUUCAAGUAAGCGCGGGUUAACGGCGGGAGUAACUAUGACUCUCUUAAGGUAGCCAAAUGCCUCGUCAUCUAAUUAGUGACGCGCAUGAAUGGAUUAACGAGAUUCCUUCUGUCCCUAUCUACUAUCCNNNNNNNNNNNNNNNNNNNNNNCGGGCUUGGAAAAAUUAGCGGGGAAAGAAGACCCUGUUGAGCUUGACUCUAAUCUGGCAGUGUAAGGAGACAUAAGAGGUGUAGAAUAAGUGGGAGAUAUUAUGGUUUUAAUCGAUCAUUUUAUCAACAAUGAAAUACCACUACUCUUAUUGUUUCCUUACUUACUUGAUUAAGUGGAACGUGUAUCAUUUCUUAGCCAUUAUACGGAUAUAAUAUUUAUAUAAAAUAUUAUAUCUUAUGGUAUUGGGUUUUGAUGCAAGCUUCUUGAUCAAAAUAAUAAUGAGUUUGUUAUAUAAUUGUAAACAAAUUUCAUAUAAUUCAAUUGUUAUAUUAGAUUUUAUUAUUAUUUGCAAAAGUAAUUUUAAAACUAUAUGAUAAUGAAUAAUUAAUUUGGUAUAACUCCUAUAGCUCUGUUAUGAUUCAAUUCAAGGACAUUGCCAGGUGGGGAGUUUGACUGGGGCGGUACAUCUCUCAAAUAAUAACGGAGGUGUCCCAAGGCCAGCUCAGUGCGGACAGAAACCACACAUAGAGCAAAAGGGCAAAUGCUGACUUGAUCUCGGUGUUCAGUACACACAGAGACAGCAAAAGCUCGGCCUAUCGAUCCUUUUGGUUUAAUGAGUUUUUAACAAGAGGUGUCAGAAAAGUUACCACAGGGGUAACUGGCUUGUGGCGGCCAAGCGUUCAUAGCGACGUCGCUUUUUGAUCCUUCGAUGUCGGCUCUUCCUAUCAUUGUGAAGCAAAAUUCACCAAGCGUUGGAUUGUUCACCCAUUCAAGGGAACGUGAGCUGGGUUUAGACCGUCGUGAGACAGGUUAGUUUUAUCCUACUAAUGACAAUAAAUUUUAUGUUAUUGCGACAGCAUUCCUGCGUAGUACGAGAGGAACCGCAGGUACGGACUAAUGGCACAAUACUUGUUCGAGCGAACAGUGGUAUGACGCUACGUCCGUUGGAUUAUGCCUGAACGCCUCUAAGGUCGUAUCCGUGCUGGUCUUGCAAUGACAACAAUGGGGCAAUUGCAUUGUAUGGCUAUCGAAAUGAUUUCAACUUUAUUAUUAUUAUAAUAAUAAACGAAAAAUUAAAAUGUGAUGCCAAUGUUAUAUGUAUUAUAGUAAGUAUGGGAGGAUAUUAUCACCUGUACGAUAUGCUAAUUAUAUAUUAAAACAUUUUAAUACAAUGGCAAUGCCUAGAAUCAAUUGUAUACGACUUUUGUAACAGGCA